rnacentral:lncRNA from 1 species
UCGAGGAAGACUUUUGGAUACAGUCAGCUUCAGUCUUCCAAAAUUUACCAUUGCUCAGGGUGUUGGAUCUUACUGAGGUGAAGUUUAAAGGAGGGAAGUUACCUUCUAGUAUUGGAGGGCUUAUCCACUUGAGAUUCUUGAGCUUAGACGAUGCUGGGGUAUCUCAGCUACCUUCUUCUAUGCGGAAUUUAAAGCUUCUCCUCUAUUUAGACUUAAGUGUUGCUGCCGAGGAACCAGUUCAUGUGCCAAAUGUUUUGAAAGAGAUGCUAGAGUUGAGGAACCUUGUCCUACCUCAUAAGAUGCAUGAUAAAACCAAGUUGGAAUUGGGUGAUCUAGUGAACCUGGUGCACUUGUGGUAUUUCUCAACGCAACACAGUAGUGUGACAGACCUCCUCCGUAUGACCAAGCUCAGGUAUCUCUCUGUAUCUUUGAGCGAAAGGUGUACUUUUGAAACCCUAUCGUCAUCUCUCCGUAAAUUGCGUAACCUCGAGACGCUUUAUUUGGAUUUUCGGUACAAAACCUAUACGGUUGAUUAUGUGGGAGAGUUGGAUCUGGAUUUUAUUCAUCUAAAAGAGUUAGGAUUGAGAGGACGUAUGUCAAAGAUUCCUGAUCAACAUCAAUUCCCUCCCCACCUUGAACACAUAUCUCUAUUUGAUUGCCGCAUGGAGGAGGAUCCAAUGCCAAUUCUAGAAAAGUUGCUUCAUUUGAAGUCGGUUAAAUUAGGAUCUGACGCUUUCGUUGGGAGGAAAAUGUUGUGCUCAAAAGGUGGAUUUCCUCAAUUACGUGCUCUAGAAAUAAAUGAAGAAUCAGAGUUGGAAGAGUGGAUAGUGGAAGAAGGGUCGAUGCCAUGUCUUUGUACUUUAAAUAUAGAUGAUUGCAAAAAGUUGAAGGAACUUCCUGAUGGACUCAAGUACAUAACAUCCUUAAAGGAACUGAAGAUUAAAAGAAUGAAGAGGGAGUGGAAGGAGAAAUUGGUACCAGGUACACAUUCCCGAUGUUCAAUUUAUCAACUGUGACGAUGAAUAAGGAGAAUAACCAGUAGCAGGUAAAAAUAAAAAUGGUAUAAUGUUCACUUUGUUCAUUUGUUGGUUUUGCAUCCUAUUUGGAUUCGUGUGAAAGUCAUGUGGAUAGUCUCCACUAUCAUCUCUGAAAUAGAUGCAGGAAAGAAAAAGAAGCUAGCUUUGAAAGAUUCAUCUGCUGAUUAACAGGUUUUCGCGAAGAAUCUUUGGAAUUGCUUAUGAAGAAUACAGAUUCUGAAGUACUACGGAUUACGUUGCCAGUCUUGGAGCAUCGUUAUUUUGUGGCUCAGAACUAUAUUAUAGAAAAUAAUGCUUUUAUUGAUGUUUGUUUUCGAUGUGGAUGUAUGGAACAUGCUUGAGAACUCUUUCACAAAAUGGAGAAACGAACCUUGGUUUUACUGUAAAAAAGUAAAAACUGGAUAUUUUAUGUUAAUAAGAAUUGUUGUUUUGUUUUAUCGUUUGUGAUUUAACACAGUUAGCUUUUGUAAGCUCUAUUUACACCAUGAAAUGUUGUCUGAUUUUAUUGAACAUUUAGACUUAAGUUUUGUUGUUUUGCACCUCUUUGUACUGUGUAUAAGCAUAGGCAAGACAUGGUUGAAGACGAGCAAAACUGAUGUACAAUAAACAGGAAUAAUCUCAUUUCCAAAACUUCUGGCAAAGCAUUAUAUUUUCUCAGGGGAACAAAAACACAGACAAGCUUGGUCGAAACUUUAAGAUUCCUUGGUCGAAACUUUACGGGUUUGUAGCAAGUUUGUUGAAGGCGGCGUGAACUCUCUCCUCCGUGAACAGUCUAUGGUUUUCAUAGAAAUCCAAUAUCUCCAUUGCAAUAUUCUUCACCUGCCAAUAUGUUCACAAUAUACUGAUGAAUCAUUGCAUAAGACUUACAAUAUGUUCGGAGAGAAUUAAAAGGACGACAACAAUGCAUAAGACUUAUACAAUGUUCAUGUCGAGAAAAAGCUCUUCAAACCAAGUCCUUAUGUCUUUCUCUUUGUGUACAGAAGCAAUGUAAAUGCAAGCGAGUGUGAUGAGAAACGGCGGAUGUAUAAGGAUGAGGUCCAUUCUGUAUGUGUCGUUAACAAGACCCCUAUAGUUUCCACACAAAACUUACGCAUCAAGAGAACAUUUACUUUACGCUUGCAAAUCAAAACCUGUUUAGCUCUCUUCCAAUUUGAGAUUUGUCAGGUGCUGGUAAACUGUUAUCCAAUUAACUUCUUGAUUACAAGAACACUUCAUCCCCAAGACUAAUAAAGGACAAAGUUUUGGAAACUUACCAAGUUAAAUGGGUCAUACUUGUGUCAUAAAUUUCAGAAUCCUGAGAGAACCUGUAAGUAAAUCAAGAAGAGUAAGCAAAACAAAAUGCAUAGUAUAGUCGCAAAAAGAUUUUGAUGACGAUACGUAAGAUCCUAAGCAAACGACUUACUCAGGAAGAGAUCGGUAUGGGUGGAAUACAACAAGAUAGAAGUUCAAUGCUUCCAAGAUCUUCAUCUCCAUUUCCAGAAUAUCUUUAAUCUCAUAUCUGAACUUUUCAUCAACAUCUAAUCAGAGUGAAGCAUCCAAUCUCAUCAGAAAGACAGAAACUCAAACAAUGCAGAGAAAUCACAUUGCAUACCUGAUUUUUAGUAUAAAGACAAGGGAACUAUUCAUAUUAAAUUCCAGGUUACAACAGAUAUAGAGCUAAUAAGUUCCACAGAACCAACAAAGAGUAAUGGAAGAAAAGUAAAUGCAAUAUCUGAAUUUAGCAAAAAUUGCAAGGAAAAACAACCUUUGCCUCACUUUAAUGUGCUGAAACACCAGUAAACUCAAACACUUUCUUUGAUCAAUCACUGAUAAUUUCAAACCAGUUGCUAAAGAGUCAAAAAAAUUUGCUCAAUUAAACAGAAAAUAUUCGAAGAAUUGAGAAGAAAAGGCUUUCGUACGAUUAGACAUGUGGAACUUGAUGAGCUUGAAUUCAUCAAUUGAGAUUCCACGUUCUUUAUCAAGAUCAUGAACUACAUCCAAACAAAAUAAUCCAGAAAUUGAAACUGAAAGUUGCGUAGAAGAAGAAGAAGAAGUGAAUUUUGAUGGGUAAAGGUGAAAAGAAUGUUUUUACUAGUGAGACGAAUUCCAGAAAUCGGCAGCCAUGUAUGUUUUCCGGUAGACAGUCGAGAUUUUGAGAAGAUAGAGAAGGAAGAGAAGCUUUUUGCUCAACAGUUUUUUACAUUUAAGGUGUUCGGCCCAUUUUCGGCCCAAUAGUCAUAGCCUUUUAUAUUCAUCAGAACAUGUCAUUUGUUAGUCGUUAAUAUUUUUUUGAGAAAAAAAACUAUAAAAGUCGAACAACUUUGAUGAUUUUUGAAGGUUUCUCACCUAAAAAAUAUUUCUUGUAACUCUGAAUACAAGUUUCAUGGAGUGUGGCGCAUCAUAAAUAUUUUUUUCGGAAUAAAACUUGAAGUCCGUACAUAGAAUGUCAAAAUUUAAGCAAGAAAAUAAACUUCAAAAGCUCCAAAUGUUAAGUACGUAAAUAUAUUAUAAAGUGGUUGCACAUGUCAAUUCUUCGGAUUAUAAACAAUUUCAAAAAGACUGAUACUCUUAUCUUCAUUUCCCAAAAGAGAUGACUCAACGAAAAAGAUAACCCAACAAAACUAUAAACCAAUAUUAAUUUCGCCUACCACAAAUAUAAUGACUUUUAUCUCUACUAAGACCAUAUACAUAGCUGAUAUAUUUAGAGUAUCAAGAGUAUAUAAAUAAUUUUUUAAUAGAUUAGACAAUACAUUUGGGUAUGAUACUGACCUUAUUAGUAUCAGUACAGUGAUACUUCUGAUACCCAGUAUCGAGUGACGUGGCGGCUCCUGAUUCGUGCUGGUAAACGCGUUUUUCCCUAAAAAAAAAAAAACAUUCUCGUCUUCUCGAUUUUUCCCGAUUAUUUUUAUCAUCAUGAUUUUUUAUAUAUUUUUUUGAAUUUUAUGUUUUUUUUGCUUAAGUAUAUUCUACGUUUUUUUAUUGUAAUAUUACCUUUUGUAAUCUUAUGUUUUAUAUUUAUUUUUGAUUUUGCAAAUAAUUUUUUUUUUUAUAAUACUUAAACCGGUUUCACCAAUAGAAAUAUAUUUAGUACGAGUAUCAUAAAAAAUCUCAAAUAAUAAACAAACAUUAUAAAUAAUACUAAAAAUUUAUUAAUGAUACUUUAUAAGUAUCACCUAUGUGAACUCAUGACAAAAAAAAAAAAGUCCAAUACUUUUUCCUCGUUUUAGAAUGAUUUACCAACUUCAAUUUUUUUCCACUCUUUAGUAGAAUGAUCGAAUUUCUCACACAGAAGCAAUUCGGCGAGGGUAGAUUGGUUUUUACACUAAACUAGAUCCGGACCCGCACGUACGUGCGGGGUUUUUGGUAACAUAUGUUUUUGAGUAUAAAACUUAUGUCAAUUAGGUUUUGAAUGUGUGUAUCAAUUUGAAUUUUGUAUGACUAUUUAAAAUAGAUUUAUGUAACAAAUUACAGGAUUGAAUAUAUUAGUAUUGGGAACAAAUCAAAUCGCUCGAGAAAUAUGUAUUUCGGUAUAUUUUUGUAUUAAAAUAUAGAUGGGUAAUACAACACAUUACUGUGUUUAUUUUAUUGUUUUUGUAACAUAAUUAGUGUGUUUAGUACUUGGUCUAGUAAGGUAAAUUUAUUAAAUCUAUACUAUAAUUGACAAAUGUUUAAAAUGAAUUCAUUAUUUGUCACUAACAUGGUCAAUAUUGAGUUUUAUUCCUUGGGCCACAGAACCAAUAAUAUUUGUAAUGGGCCGUAAUCAAUCCAAAACUUUGUCGUAAACAGUAUCUCAAUUAUGUUUUUUAUUAUCUGGACAGAUAAUGUUUUUGUUCUUGAGUCUUUGUCUGAAACGGAAAAAAAAUUCCAAUCAACGAAAAUCAUCUUUGUCGGUCAAUUUACGAAUCUGAAUCGAAAUCCAUACUAAAUCGACUUCCUUCGUCUUCGAUUAUACAUCGUGAUUCGCAAAUUAUUAGAUCUAAAAAGAGGUAAGCUUUUCUUUUUUUUGAUUUUUGUUUCUACGUUUUUAGAAUCGGUCGAUUGAGUUUCUACCAUUGAUUUUUUUGUGUUUCAUAAUAGAUAUUAUUCAAAGAUUGUUAAUAACCCAUAGAAAUUUGAUUAAAUAUUACCCUUUUCAUAUUUAAUUGCUUGCAACUGAAUCAUAUUUUGUUUCGUUUAGUUUAAACAUGUUAGUUAGUGAAUCAAUCUAUUUCAUCAAAUUUCUAGUGUUAAGAGACUAAAUCUAAUCAAUUUCAGUAUAUCUUGAAACCUGUGAAUCUAUAUACCUAUUUUUGUUUUUAUAAUUGUUUCAGAUGAUUACAAAUAUUUUGAUGGAUUCUCAAAAGAAGAAGAACCACGAAGAUAAGUUUUUUUUUAUUAAGAUUAUUAUAUAACGUGAGCACUUUAUUUCAAUAAGCUCCUGCUUCAUUAUUCUUUAGAUCAAUCUUAUAUUCAUGAUACAAAGCUCAAUAUGUCUGCAGGCCAAGUAUCAUUUUGCACCUCUAAUUCUUAUGGAGCAGAACAGUAACAGUUCAAUUUGAAGCAUUCUUGAAAGCUAAUUUGGUACAAUCCUUUUAAAAAUGGCAAUGUUUCUUAGUCUUUACAAUGAUUUAUAUGUUUGUACUAAUGUAAAAUCGAUAACUGUUAAAAAUCUGCAGACCAAGAAUCUUUUGCGACUUGGAAUCUGAAGGAGAAAAGAGAUUUGGUGUUGUAUUUGGAGGUUUUCAGAGAUCUAAAUUUAAAAGGUUAGUAAGAUAUUAAACAUAACAUUUUUGAUUAGGUGAUAACAAUAUAGACCUACUCUAUUGAUUUUCAAAUUAGAUUAAAUACUUAUAAAUUAAAUAUAUCAAAUUUGUACAUAGUAAUUUGGUUGCUUGUUAUGUUGUUGGUGGUUUAUUCUGUAUUUGUUUGUUAAUAGAAGUAGUAAGUUCAAACUCAAAUCUUUUGGUAGCUUUGUUGAUGACAUCGUGAGUUUGUCAUCUCACCUAAACUCACGACCUGACCAAUAGCAUCUGUAAAAAUAUGAAAUGGUGUUAGUUUGCUAUUUUUUUUGCUUUAAACAUUAUAUACAUAAAUAGGAGGAAUGGAAAAUACCAAUCAAAAUGUUUUCAUUCAAUUAACAUUCAGAAUGUCUGGAAAGUUAGCAAAAUCAAAGUAAAACUCCUCAGAAAUUGAAGGAAUACGACUUAUAACAGUCGUAUUCAUGAGGGACAUCUUGAAUGGAAGUCUGGUUGCCCGGUACUUUCCAAUAGAUUUUGCAACUGUAAAAUUUUCCACAGUUCUCCACUCUCCAGUUGUGAUGAGCCUUUGAAACUUGUUGACUUGUUGUUUCUUGACAGUCGCAUGAAUCAAGGUACCUUGUAUUUAGCAAAGAAAGAGUAUGAACACAUAAUAAUUACAGAAGAAAAUAUCUACUAUUAGUAAAAAGAUUCUUACACAUGUAUCAGCAAGAAUCAUCUCGACAGUUUCUCCGGAGUAUUGGAUGUAUUGAGUCCACGAAUGGACGAUUUUCACUUGAAUCUUCCAUUGAGUUUUGAAAGAUUUAAUUGCGUUAAGUUCGGUGAUGAGAUGAGCCAUUGUUUUAGAGGUAUAGAGGUGGUUUGGUAGCUUAUUGAGUAUUGAGAAUAUCGUUGAAGAUCUAUAUAUAUAAGAGAUAGAACGUCUAGGGUUAGUCCUAUUAGAUAGGAAUAAUAUCUUUGCAAAUCAAUCAUUUGAAUAGAUAUUUUAGGUAUAUUCUUGAUUGAAGAUGUUUUGAAUAUAUUUUUUUUGAUUUAGUUUAGAUUUUUUGGUAACUAUAGAUGACUUAAAUUUGUUAUGACAUUGAUUUGAAUUCGAAAUUAAAGAGAUAUGAUUGUUUAGGUAUUAUCUUGACUUAUUUGUUAUUGUAAUUAUGUUUAGAUUAUCAAAUGGCAACUGUGAGGAUCAAUACAAAUCGUGACGCUCAAUCCAAAUCAACCGUGAGGAUCAGUUUGAGGAAAAUCAACCGUGAGGAUCACUUUUAGGAAUGGCCGGGUCAAGUGUUACGAUCCGCAUGUUUAUCCGAAAGCUAGCCCAUCAGGCUCUAAAAAUAACCGAUCCAAUAGCCCAUGAUCCAUGGAUCUUUCUCUACCAAAUUAUUAUUUUAGCCUUCCACGUGUUUUAAAUUUUAGUCUUAGAUUGAAAAAAUUCUAAUGGCAUUCAUUGUAAUUUUUUAUACUUUAUAAGGUUAUUUAAAUUAGAAUGAUUCCCAAUUAAUAGUAUAGAUUGGUAGAGAACAAUUUUGGUAUUAGUUACUCUAAUGAUCAAUGCAGUGAAGGUGUUCAAUGAAAUGCUUAAGAGAGACUUUAGGGAAAUUUACUUUCACCUGAAGUGUGUUAGAUAUAAGGGUUUAGUGCUUUUUCAUCAUGAUCCCCAAAGAACAGAAAUCACAAAGAAUCUAAAGCUGUUGAAUCAAGGAUACACUGUGACGUCUUUUGAUAAGCAUGUUGCCCUUUCCUCUCUCAAAGGCUCUCUCUUCCCGCUGAAACGGUAACCUAUAAUCCCUUUGGAUGCUUAAGCAUUAUUAGUAGGCUAAGAAUGAGUAAGGUGUCUGAAUGUUUUUACUCUCCAUUUUCGAAUGAUAAAUUUGUUACGGUGUCUAUUAUAUGCUCGGGGAAUCUUGAUGAGAAUUUGGUUACAUUCAGGUCAAGCUACAUUUUUGUACAAGGUUUUUGGUGCCCCUCUUGAAAAUUUAUUCUUCGAAGUUAACAAGCUAAAUAUAUGACGUGUUGUGUUUACUCUCAAAUGAUAAAUUUGUUACAGUGUAUGUAUAUGCUCGUGGAAUCCUGAUGAAAAAUUGGUUACAUUCACAGUUCAAGUUACAUUUUAUUUACAAACACUAGGUUUCAGGCUAUGUCUUCUGAUUACAAUUCUCUAAUAGUUUCAAUGGUGCAAGGUUUUGUAUGCCCCUCUUGAAAAUUUAGCCUCUGAAGUUAACAAGCUGUAUAUGUGACAUGUUUGCAGAGUUCAAGCAUAUAUCAGUGUGAAUGAGCUGGAGUCAACGGUGGUUGUGAUAAUAGUUCAAGCAUCUAAUUUAAUACUCUGCCCUAUCAAAUAUCUUUGAUUAAUCAAAACGAAUAAUUAGAGGUGGCAAUAGAUUAUAAAUUCAUAAUAUAUAUUAUUGUUGAGAACCCCUCCGUCAAUAGAUUGGUAGCUACAUAGUUGACUUGGAUUAAACUUUUAGCUGAUUUUAGAUCUAUUUUUCCUUUGGCGUUCUUGUAUUGGUUCAUCGUAUGUGAUUGACGACGAGUAGUUGUUAUGGCUGAAGCAUUUGUGUCGUUUGGAGUUGAGAAGCUUUGGGAUCUCCUGAGUCGAGAAUCUGAGCGAUUGCAGGGUAUUGAUGAGCAAGUUGAUGGACUAAAGCGUCAGCUGGGAAGGUUACAGUCGUUGUUGAAAGAUGCAGAUGCCAAGAAACAUGGAAGUGAAAGGGUGAGAAACUUCUUGGAAGAUGUCACAGACCUUGUUUAUGAUGCUGAGGAUAUACUUGAAUCCUAUGUUCUGAACAAAAGUAGAGGAAAAGAAAAAGGGAUCAAGAAGCAUGUGAGAAGACUUGCUUGCUUCUUAACGGAUCGCCGCAAAGUUGCUUCAGAUAUCGAAGGAAUCACUAAGAGGAUCUCUGAGGUGAUUGGGGAUAUGCAGAGUUUAGGGAUACAACAGGUCAUUGAUGGUGGUCGUUCGAUGUCUCUUCAGGACAGACAAAGGGAGCAGAGGGAGAUCCGACAAACCUACGCUAAGAGUCCUGAACACGAUCUUGUUGGGGUGGAGCAGAGUGUUGAAGAAUUGGUUGGUCAUUUGGUGGAGAAUGAUAAACAUCAAGUGGUUUCUAUAUCUGGGAUGGGCGGUAUUGGUAAAACGACUUUGGCCAGACAAGUUUUUCAUCAUGACAUUGUCCGACGUCAUUUUGAUGGAUUCGCAUGGGUCUGUGUUUCGCAACAGUUUACGCAGAAAGAUGUUUGGCAGAGGAUCUUGCAAGAACUUCAGCCACACGAUGGUGAAAUUUUGCAGAUGGACGAAUAUGCACUUCAGCGUAAACUCUUUCAGUUGUUGGAAACCGGUAGAUAUUUGGUUGUCCUCGACGAUGUAUGGAAAAAAGAAGACUGGGAUCGAAUAAAAGCAGUGUUUCCGCAGCAAAGAGGUGAGCUCUUAUGGUACAUAUAUGAAGCACUUAGUCUUUUUAGUUCAUAUAAGUGAUUGUUAAAAGAAAUAUAUAGAAUAAAUGCAUUUUUAUUCCUUAACAUGAGAACACAAAUAUAUUCCAGGUUGGAAGAUGCUGCUUACUUCUCGGAAUGAAGGUGUUGGGAUACAUGCUGAUCCAACAUGUUUUACUUUUAAAGCAAAAAUCCUGAAUCCUGAUGAAAGUUGGAAGCUCUUUGAGAGAAUAGUAUUCGCUAGGAGAGAUGAAACUGGUACAUAUCUUAUUAUAUAAUGUUUAGUUUCACUAACUUUAUUUCCCUUAACUAAAUAAGAUAAACAAAUUUUAAGAAAAACAUAUUUGCACAUACUAAUUAUCAUGUGUAUAUUUAAACUAUUCCUUAAACUUUUCUUUUCCUUAACCAAAAAGCAAAAUUAAAAAAAAAAUAUAUAUAUAUAUAUAUAUAUAUAUAUAUAUAUAUACAUAUUGGUAAUUUUUCAAACAAAUUUCAACUUUUUUUCCCUUAACGAAUGAGAAAAACUAACUAAAAAACGUAUUUACGUAUUUUGACAUGUAUCAAAAAAAGUAAUUACUAAUCUUAAUUUUUUUUUUUUUCUUUCGAUUUUUUAGAAAAAUCGAAUAUCUACUCUUUAUGAUUAACUAGAUAUGGACCCGUGCGUUGCACGGGUUACCAGUCGAGAUUAUCAUUCUUAAUAUUUUUAUUUUAGUUUUGUAAGCUUAACUAAAAUUCUAUAAACAUAUAUAUUUUAAAAAAUGCAGCAUAAUUAUUUCUAAAUAUAGAUUUAUUAGCAUAAUUUGCAAUAUAAAACAUUCUUUAUAGUUAUGUUAUACUAUUUAUUAAAUCAUAUAAUAUAAAUAUUGGCCUAUUUAUAAAAUUAUAUAAUUUUUUGCUUAUUAUAAGUUAUAAAGUCAUAAAUGUUCAUAUGUUGUAUUAUUGAAUUUAAUAAGUUAUUUAUAUCCAUCAGAAGAGUGUGUUACAUAAACAUAUAGUUACGUAAACAUAUAGUCUGAGUUACGUAAAUAUAGAUUUUUUUAAAAAAAACAUUUGACGUCAUAAUAAAAUUGUGACAAUAAAAAAAAUAUAUAUAUAUAUAUAUAUAUAUAUAUAUAUAUAUAUAUAUAUAUAUAUAUAUAUAUAUGAAACCGUCUAUAUCCAUGUCAUAUAAAUUUACUUUAUAAAUAUGAAAUAUCCUCAACAGAAAAAAAAACAAUCUUAUAAGGAAUUACAAAAUACACACUAAAUAAUUUAAGACUAAAAAAAAAAAAAAAAAACAACAUCAGGCUAAACAUUAUCUAUUUGCAACAUGACUUUUAUCAUUUUAGGCCCAUAUUACCAAUUUCUUUGUUUUUUCUUCUUUCUAAUUCUCAAAAAUCUAUAUAUCUUUCAUUAGAUUUUUCUUAUUUUUGGUCGAACUCCUCUUUCUUUAUCUUUCUCUCCCUCUCAUCGGAUUUCUUCACCACAAUAGUUUUAUUUAUUUAUUUAUUCUCUAUCUCCAUUUCUCGUAUUCGUCGGACAUCACUAUCGAGUCUCACUACUCUGACCCACUACCACAACUGAAUCUCACUACUAUCACAAUCACCACCACCAUCAAUACCGAAUCUUGCUAAUUCUGACUCACCACUUUUAUCAAUAUUUACCGCCACCACCACCACCACCAUCAACACCAACACCACCGUUAUCGCCUCUUAUCCUCUUUCCCCAACUUCUCUUAUUACUCCACCUUCUUUAUCUCCUCCGACAUUAGACCAAACCUCUCCGACAAUAACUCUAGUCUAUGUCUAUCGUCGUUCAUAAUUAUUAAUUUGCCUUAAUUGUCAUAUAUUCAUUAGAUCUGAAUAUCACAUGCUAUUUUUAGAAAAACAUCGUGAUUGAAAGUAUUUUUUUAUAAUUGAUAUUAUAUAACAUCGUUAAGAAAUUAGUUUGCUUGAUGAGAAAAUAUGAGAUAAUCUAUUUGUUUAUAUAAAUGUGACUAUUUACUAUCUUUUUCUUAUAGGAUUAAUAACUGAUUGUAUAAUUUUCUUAAUUUUUUUCUAAUUUUAAAUCUUUUUCUUGUUAAGUUAGUAACUUAUAAAUAAAACGUUUAGCAUAAUUUUAUAAUUUCGAUUUUUAUGGAUAUAUACAUAUAAUUUCUUUAUAUAUAUGUAUAGGUUUCUUAUUAUAAUCUUUUUAUAUGUUUAAAACUGUUUAAAUUUAUCAUUUUUUAUAAUUAUUUUUUAAAAACAAAAUUUUUGUUUGCUAGAUGGAAAAAACUCUUAUGAAAAUAUAUGUACAAUUUCCUUAUAAUUAGCUUUUUACUUUUUUUUUAAAAGGAAAAUUUUAUUUGACACAUGUCAAAAUCUCAGAUCGAAAAAGUUCAUACGUGUCACGAUCUCUUGAGUUAUUAACUUUGAAAACCAUACUUUAGAUAAUAAGAUUCAUGGUUGGUUCAAUUAAAAUUUAACAUUAUAAAAUCUCAGAUCGAAAAAGUUCAUACGUGUCACGAUCUCUUGAGUUAUUAACUUUGAAAACCAUACUUUAUAUAAUAAGAUUCAUGGUUGGUUCAAUUAAAAUUUAACAAUUUAAAAUCAACUAAAUUUGUAAAAAAAAAAUGUAUUGAUUAAGGGUCCUAAUUAAUCUAGUUCAAAUGUAAAAUUAGUCCAAUAAUCUAAUAAAUUUUAUUUAGCAGCUCACAUCUUGAAAUGUAUUAGCUUGUGAUAUUGUGCAGAAGUAAGGCUUGGUGAAGAAAUGGAAGCCAUGGGAAAGGAAAUGGUCAAACAUUGUGGAGGACUACCAUUAGCUGUUAAAGUGUUGGGAGGCUUGUUAGUUAAUAAACAUACAGUUCAUGAGUGGAAAAGAGUUUCUGACAAUAUCGGAGAUCAAAUCGUAGGAAAAUUGUGCUUAGAUGACAACAGUCUCAAUUCGGUUAACCGAAUAUUGUCUCUGAGUUAUGAAGAUUUGCCAACGCAUUUAAAGCAUUGCUUCCUUUAUCUAGCCCAUUACCCCGAAGAUUACAAGAUAUAUAUGUGGAAUUUGUUCAAUUACUGGGCUGCAGAAGGAAUUUGUUAUGGAUCAACCAUCAGACAUAGUGGAGAAGACUACCUACAAGAGCUAGUGAGGAGAAAUUUGGUUAUUGCUGAAAAAAACAAUUUGAGUUGGAGAUUUGAAUAUUGUCAAAUGCAUGACAUGAUGAGAGAAGUAUGUUUAUCAAAAGCCAAAGAAGAGAACUUCCUACAAAUUAUCAAAGUCCCUACUUCCACCUCUAGCAUCAAUGCUCAAUCUCCUAGUAGAUCUCGCAGACUCACCAUACGUAGUGGUAAAGCCUUUCAUAUACUGGGACACAAAAACAAUAAAAAAGUCAGAUCUCUUAUAGUUUUGGGACUCGAGGAAGACUUUUGGAUACAGUCAGCUUCAGUCUUCCAAAAUUUACCAUUUCUCAGGGUGUUGGAUCUUUCUGAGGUGAAAUUUAAAGGAGGGAAGUUACCUUCUAGUAUUGGAGGGCUCAUCCACUUGAGAUUCUUGAGCUUAUACGAUGCUGGGGUAUCUCAUCUACCUUCUUCUAUGCGGAAUUUAAAGCUUCUCCUCUAUUUAGACUUAAGUGUUGCUAUUGGGGAACCAGUUCAUGUGCCAAAUGUUUUGAAAGAGAUGCUAGAGUUGAGGAACCUUGUCCUACCUCAUAAGAUGCAUGAUAAAACCAAGUUGGAAUUGGGUGAUCUAGUGAACCUAGAGCACUUGUGGUUUUUCUCAACGCAACACAGUAGUGUGACAGACCUCCUCCGUAUGACCAAGCUCAGGUCUCUCUCUGUAUCUUUGAGCGAAAGGUGUACUUUUAAAACCCUAUCGUCAUCUCUCCGUGAAUUGCGAAACCUCGAGACGCUUCAUUUCUUUUCUACGAGCAAAACCAUUAUGGUUGAUUAUGUGGGAAAGUUCGAUCUGGAUUUUGUUCAUCUAAAAGAGUUAGGAUUGGCAGUACGUAUGUCAAAGAUUCCUGAUCAACAUCAAUUCCCUCCCCACCUUGAACACAUAUCUCUAUUUCUUUGCCGCAUUGAGGAGGAUCCAAUGCCGAUUCUAGAAAAGUUGCUUCAUUUGAAGUCGGUUAAAUUAGGAUCUGACGCUUUCGUUGGGAGGAAAAUGUUGUGCUCAAAAGGUGGAUUUCCUCAAUUACGUGCUCUAGAAAUAUAUGAAGAAUUAGAGUUGGAAGAGUGGAUAGUGGAAGAAGGGUCGAUGCCAUGUCUUCGUACUUUAAAUAUACUUGAUUGCAAAAAGUUGAAGGAACUUCCUGAUGGACUCAAGUACAUGACAUCCUUAAAGGAACUGAAGAUUAGAGGAAUGAAGAGGGAGUGGAAUGAGAAAUUGAUACCAGGUGGAGAAGAUUACUACAAAGUCCAACACAUUCCCGAUGUUCAAUUUAUCAACUGUGACGAUGAAUAAGGAAUAACCAGUAGCAGGUAAAAAUAAAAAUGGUAUAAUGUUCACUUUGUUCAUUUGUUGGUUUUGCAUCCUAUUUGGAUUCGUGUGAAAGUCAUUUGGACAGUCUCCACUAUUAUACAUUGUCUAACAUCUAUCAUCUCUGAAAUAGAUGCAGGAAAGAAAAAGAAGCUAGCUUUGAAAGAUUCAUCUGCUGAUCAACAGGUUUUCGCGAAGAAUCUCUGGAAUUGCUUAUGAAGAAUACAGAUUCUGAAGUACUACGGAUUACGUUGCCAGUCUUGGAGCAUCGUUAUGUUGUGGCUCAGAACUAUAUUAGAGAAAAUAAUGCUUUUAUUGAUGUUUGUUUUCGAUGUGGAUGUAUGGAACAUGCUUGAGAACUCUUUCACAAAAUGGAGAAACGAACCUUGGUUUUACUGUAAAAAGUAAAAACUGGAUAUUUUAUGUUAAUAAGAAUUGUGUUUUGUUUUCUCGUUUGUGAUUUAACACAAUUGCUUUUAUUUAACAUUUAGGCUUAAGUUUUGUUAGCUUUGCACCUCUUUUACUGUGUCUACGCAUAGGCAAGACAUGGUUGAACCACGACGAACAAAACUGAUGUACAAUAAACAGAAUAAUCUCAUUUCCAAAACUUCUGGCAAAACAUUAUAUUUUCUCAGGGGAACAUAAUACACAGACAAGAUUCCUUGGACUUUACGGGUUUGUAGCAAGUUUGUUGAAGGCGGCGUGAACUCUCUCCUCCGUGAACAGUCUAUGGUUUUCAUAGAAAUCCAAUAUCUCCAUUGCAAUAUUCUUCACCUACCAAUAUGUUCACAACAUACCGAUGAAUCAUUAAACAAGACCAAUAAGGCAAUAAUUCCUCAGAGAAUUAAAAGGUGGAUAACAGUGCAUAGACUUACAAUGUUCAUGUCGACAGAAAGCUCUUCAAACCAAGUCCUUAUGUCUUUCUCUUUGUGUACAGAAGCAAUGUAAAUGCAAGCAAGUGUGAUGAGAAACGGCGGAUGUAUAAGGAUGAGAUCCAUUCUGUAUGUGUCGUUGACAAGACCCCUAUCGUUUCCAAACAAAACUUAAAGCAUCAAGAGAGCAUUUACUUUUUUGCUUGCAUAUCAAAACCUGUUUAGCUCUAUUCCAAUUAAAGAUUUGUCAGGUGAUGGUAAUUGUUAUACAAUUGCCUUCUUGAUUACAACAACACUUCAUCCCCAAGAUUAAUAAAAGACAAAUUUUGGAUACUUACCAAGUUAAAUGGGUCAUACUUGUGUCAUUGAUUCCAGAAUCCUGCAAGAACCUGCAAGUAAAGCAAGAAUAGUAAUAAAACAAAAUGCAUAGAAUAAAUGCUAAAGGAUUUUGAUAUCAACACAUAAGAUCUUAAGCAGAUGGCUUACUCAGGAAGAGAUCGGUAUGGGUGGAAUACAACAAGAUAGAAGUUCAAAGCUUCCAAGACCUUCAUCUCCAUUUCCAGAAUAUCUUUGAUCUCAUAUCUAAACUUUUCAUCAGCAUCUACCGAGAGUGAAGGAUGCAAUCUCAUCAGAAACUCAGACAAAAAAACUCAAGAAAGUUUUGAAGCAGAAAACAAAAAAAGAAUUUACAAAGUUUUUUCAUGUAGAAGACAAGAAGUUUGGCAUGCACCACACUCUCUUCUGCUUUGCAAGCCAAAUACAAGCAGGUGGGAGCAACAAGCCGAGGCUCGUAUUCCGACAAACUCUUUCUGUCAAAACACACAACACUACCCAUAAGUCAAAUGACCGAGCCUCAAGCUACACAACGAUGAUCAAACAAUCAGAAGCUAGAACAAGCCAUACCUUGUGUAAACGCGACGCAUAUACGUUACUGCAGUUGCAAUAACUCUGAAUAAUAGAAGUGCUAAAUCAGUCAGCAUUGUUCAAAGGGUCGUUACACAUUUCAUAUCUCUUUUAAGAACUAACAACGAAAGACUUCACCUUUGCCUAAUCUUAAUGUUUUGUGCCAGUUUCGAUAUAUCUGAAACACGAACAACAAGGAAAACAAGCUUAAAUCCAAUCAAAACCUCAAGAUAAGGACAUGAUUCAUGACAUUAGAGAUAUUAAAUCCAAUCUGGAAAUUAACAAGGUAAUCAAAUCCAAUGAAAACAUACAAUUAGACAUAUGAAGCUUAAUGAGUCUGAAAUCUUCAACAGAGAUUCCUCUCUGAGCAUCAAGAGGAUGAACAACAUUAACCUCUUCUGGGUCCUUAAGCUCUUUGCUGUGAGAAUAAAACCCAGAAAACGAAAUCAAUCAGGAACAUAGAAAUUGCAUAUAAAAAGACGAUCUUUAAUCGUUGAUUGAAGCUUACUAGUGCGUCGAAGUCCAGAAAUUGGAAGCCAUAGCUUCUUUCUUUGAUCCUUCAACUUCAAAAAUACAAGAUUUUUAUUUUUAUGGUGUGGAUAAUGUAAAGCAUAAGAAGACCACCAAGGAUAAAUAAAAUAAAAAAGUAAACUUUUUUAAUUCAUUAUUAUUUACUAAAAACAGUUUUUAAAAGUCUUAUAUGAAAGUAAAUAAGUCAAUUUUAUAAACUUUUUUCAUCUUUUGUCAUCUUCAUCAAUAUGACCUUUGUUUUUUCACAUUUUUGCUUCUAGGAGAGGUUUAGGUUUAGAUUAGGGGAAACAAAACCCAUUUUGAUGAUCAAAUAACAAUAGUGUAUUUGUGUUUACUUUAAGAUUAAUUGGUUUGGUAGAAUUAACAACAGUGUUACAUGUUUGCCACAAAGCUAAGAUGGGCAAUUGUGAAAGUCUCUAAUCUUGUUUUUUCUGUGAGAUAAAUCUUGGAGAUGGAAGCGAUUCCCUCGGCUGCUACGGUUUCAAAGCCAAUUUGCUGAAGGCAGAAUUCACUUUUUCCUCUGUGAUUGUUCUGUAAUUCUCAUAGAAAUCCAGAAUCUCCAUGGCAAUGUUCUUUACCUGCAAACCAUUGACCCAUGUAGAGCUUUCACCGUCACUAAGAAUACCGAAAGGUCAUAGCUUUUUGCUUAACUUUUAGAAGAAUGACUGACCAAGUUCAUGUCCUCAUGAAGAUCUUCAAACCAGGCAGUGAUGUCUUUCUCUCUGUGGACACUUGCUAUGUAUAUGCAUGCUAGCGCUAUGCGAUACGGAGGGUGUACAAGAAUGAGGUCCAUCUUAUAAGUAUCGUUAACAAUUCCCCUGAAACACGAAAACAAAACUCGGUUUUCCUAUGCUUUUUACAAAGGUCAGAGAAUUUAGAUCUUAGUGUUGGAACUAGGAAAUGAGUUCUGAGCAAAGUUUCACAUGUAGAAAGACUUUACCAUGUAAUUUGGUUCAUAUUUACAUCGUUUAUUGCAGCAUCUUGCAAAAACCUGAGAAAACAAAAGAAGGAAGUCUUGAAAUGAGAGUUGAUUUUCUGACUACAAGGAUCAAGGCACACAAAACUCUCACCAAGGAAUAUAAAAUUGGUCUAAAAUUUUACAGGAUAUAAUGAAAAACAUCAAGAGCAUUGAAUGGGAAGACUGCAAGGUUUUACAUGUAUCAUCAUUUACACUUCUAAUCAUCUCCUCUGUUUGCAACCGCAGACAAUAAGGCAAACACUUCUGAAAAGCGGAUAAGAGAGAUGAGUGGACAUACUCAGAUAAUGACCGGUAAGGGUGAAACACAACCAGAUAAUAGUCUAGUGCUUCUAAGACCUUCAUCUCCAUUCCUAAUAUAUCUUUUAGUUCAUAUUUGUUGUACUCAUCAGGAUCUGCAAAGAAAUAAGAACCGUUGUCGAUAAGUCAAAAAACGCAUAUUGAAGGGAAGGUUCUCUUAUGAUUUAGCACAUUGAAAAAUCAAAACACAGUAGAAGAAGAUAUUACACAAUCUUUUGAUGUAAAAAACAAGAUUCCUGGCCUGCACAAUGCUUUCUUCAGCUUUAGAUGCCAGGUACAAGCACGUAAGAGCAACAAGACGAGGCUCAAACUCUACCAUACUCUUUCUGAGACAGUAUAAUAUCAAAAGGAAGAUAUUAGACGCAGUUAUGGUUUUUGUUAGCAGAGAUGCAACAUAUAGAGACAUUGGCAUGACAAGAAUUUAACUCAUUUCAUUCCUCACAUACACAAAGAUGCACUUUGAUGUAUAAGAUCAUAUCAAAAUUACAUUGCAUACCUGAUAUAAACCCGUCUCAUAUACGUAAUUGCGGUAGCCACAACCCUACAUAAGUAUUGAAAACAAGGCAAUGAUUCAUAUUAAAUUCUAGGUAACAACAGAUAUAGAGCUAAUUAUUUCCACAGAAGCAAAACAAAAUAAUGGAACAACUGCAAAAGUAGAAUCUCUGAUAUAGCAAAAAUUGGAUCCCCAAAGUGCAAAAAACCAACCUUUGCCUCACUUUAAUGUGUUGAGCCAAUUUCAUAAUAUCUGAAACAACAAUAAAGGCAAAAAUACAAAGAGACUUAAACUCAACAGCAAAACAAACACUUUCUUUGAUCAAUCUUUAAAAUAUUUUCAAAGUAGAGACAAAAUUUGCUAAAUUAAGUAGAAAAAAUUCGAAGAAUUGAGAAGAAAAAGAUUUUGUACGAUUAGACAUAUGGAACUUGAUGAGCUUAAAAUCCUCAAUUGAAAUUCCACGUUCUUUAUCAAGUUCAUGAACUACAUCGACUUCUUCUGGAUCCAAAAGCUGUUUACUGCUUCGUACAAACGCAAAAACCAAACAAAAAAUUUCGAGAAAUUGAAAUUAGAAGUUGAGUUGAAGGAGAAGAAGAAGUGAAUUUUGAUGGGUUAAGGUGAAAAGAACGUUUACUAGUGAGAUGAAUUCCAGAAAUUGGCAGCCAUUUUUUCCGAUAGACCGUCGAGUUUUUGGUAAGGAGGAGAAGAAGAAGCUUUUUGCUUUCAUAAUAAGUUCAACAUUUUUCUGUUAUCUGUCAAAUCUUUUGGUUGGUGGUCUCAUGAUCUAUCACAUCUCGUUGCUUUUAUCUGAAAUUAUAUUUAAGGCUCGGCCCAUUAUCGGCCCAAUAAGCAUAUCUGUUGUUAGUCGCUAGGCCCAAUAAGCAUAGCCUUCAUUUCCGAUUAAUCGCUAGACGUAUAUCGAACGUCCGACUAACGCCUACCGAUUUUUCGAACAAAGAUCGCAACAAACACAAUUACGCAAAGUAUAAAUCUUUCAAGGUUGCUCAAUGCUCACCGAAAAAUAGCUUUUGCAGCUCUGAUAUAACAUGUUUGUUGUUUUUUUGAAUAACAGAACAUCGAUAAAAUUUGAAAUUCGUUGAUAUAAAGAUGUCAAUAUUCAAGCAAGAAGAAAAACUUCAAAAGCUCCAAGUGUAUUCAUAAAUCCCAUAAAUAUCUAAGUAGUGAUUGAAUAUGUCAUUUCAACCGGGUAUAAACAGUUUCAAAAGGAUUAAAUUUGAGUUUCAUUUUUUCGCAUGAAAGCUACAAAAAUUCUAGCUUUAUACCAUCAGCCAUCCUAUCAACGAUUUUUUUUUUUUCCCACAAGUUUUCACAUCAUGUAUUGUUCCAAAGCUUGAUCAGUGAUUUUCAUCUAACAAUAAGUUUGGGUGUUCAUAAAAGAAUUUUCCUUUGCCUAAUACACAUGUUCAUUUGUUUUACUGAAAUCGAUCCACCAAAUAAAAGAAAAUGUGUGAAAUUUUACAAAAACAUUUCCCUUAAUUUAUCUAGGUGGUCAUGACUCAUUGGAUUGGAUUUGGAGAAAACAAAAUUCAAUUACUUUUUCUUGCAAAUACCAGGUUAACAUAAUUGUCCGUCUUCACAAACAAACCCAACUAAUCCUAGGAAGAGCUGACUCAACAAAAAUGUAACCCAACAUAUUAAAUCCUAAACAGAAAAACCAAAUCUUUCCUACCAAAACUUUGUUUAUAAUGAGAAUUAAACUUAGACACAGAAUAAUCCAUACUCCUUUAUCAAUUUUUUUUUCAAACAUAUUAUAUUCAUAUUAAUAUUCGAGAACUGACCAUACAUGUUUCUCUCGUUCAAUAUUUGGUACAAGCCAAAUAAGUUGACUACAAUCUAAAAACGCAUGAAAAAACGCAUGAGGAAGGAACAAACCAAAUAGGUUGACUACAAUCUAAAAACGCAUGAAAACGCAUGAAGAAAGAGUAUCGUUUAUUCUGUGUCUAAGUUCAUACUAAAUUCCUAUUAAUACUCAGAACUGACCAUACAUGUUUCUCGCGUUCAAUAUUUGGUACAAGCCAAAUAAGUUUACUACAAUCUAAAAACGCAUGGAAAAAACGCAUGAGGAAGGAACAAGCCAAAUAGAUUGACUACAAUCUAAAAACGCAUGAAAAAGAAGUAUCGCUUAUUCCAUGUCUAAGUUUAAUUCUCAGUUUCUCAUUAUCAAAAGAAUUUAAGAGGAGUUAUUAUUAUUCUCCAAUUAUAGAAUGUGAAUUCUUUGGGAUAUGCGCUAACACAAAGAAACCCAAAUUAAAAUCUAAUUUACUCAUUAAUAAAAGGUUAGUGGAGAAUAAAUCUCUCGAAGAAAGAAAGGAAAGGAAGUGCAACGGACCAUGUUUGACACGUGAGAGUCAAAAAGGUAAUUAAAGAAAAAGUCAUCAACACACACACUCUCUCUCCGUCUAUAUAAAGCAGCUCUUCUUCACAGUCCCCACAAAGUCCUCUUCCGUUGCCUUUUCGCUUUCUCCGUACACUUGGUCUUCCUUCUCGCGAUCAAACCCUAGGUCCCGCCAUUGUUUGUCCCAGGCUUAAAUCGAAGCUCCAAUUUCACUAAUUUCAGGUGAAUCUUCUUCUACAAUUUCGUUUUCGUUUUGUUUAUUGUCACGAUUGCGUCUAGAAACAAAGUGUUCUACAGUGUUUCGGAGUGUGUAGAAGCGAAAUGUGAAGUAGAUUUUGUUGUCUCUUAGUUCGUUUUGCUUGUAUGUGUGUAGUUGAUGAGGUUUCGUCUACCGAAAUGAUCGGGAUUUUGGAAAUUACUGUCUGUGAUUUGGAGAUUUUUCUGCUUUUACAUGUCAAGGAUUUUUUCUUUGGGGUUUUCUGUGAUUAGUUUGAUUCUGACAGUUUUGUGUUUAUGAAUCACAGGUGUUGCUUUUUUUCCUCUGGAGCUUGGUGAUAGAUACUAUGGAUCCUGUUGCUGAACCUAGCCCUGUUGUUGACCCACUUACUGUAUGUUUCGAUUAUGGGGUUUCUUCUCCUUUUCACUAGUUGUAAUUGUGAUUCUUUGUGUGGUUUGUUCUGUUUUUGGUGUGGUUAAAGUGUAAUUUUGGGUUUGGUAAAUUAUAGGUUGGGAAUGCGUUUGUCAGUCAGUACUACCACGUUUUGUAUAACAUGCCUGAGCAUCUGCCCCGGUUCUAUCACGAGAUCAGUAAAGUUGGGCGUGUUGGACAGGACGGAGUCAUGCAAAAUUUCUCUACCUUGGAGGUAAGUAUUGUCAGUGGUUUAGCUGACUUUGGUUGAAUGAGAGUAUUCCUUUUCUUUGAUGUGAAGGAUUAUUAGUCUAUUUACUUACUUGAGUAAAUAACAUGGGGUUGGGCUGGAGUGUCAAUUGGUUUGAUUGAAAUUGGAUGUCAGUUUUAAGUAACUUGCUAAAAGUGUGUCUCAUUGAUGUUUAUUCUUUGUGCAGGGUAUAACUGAGGAGCUUAAGACACUGACUUAUGGAAAUUCGGCUGAGAUAACCAGUUAUGAUACCCAAGCAUCUCACGAUGGGGGUUUCCUCGUCGCUGUUACUGGAUACUUCACUCUAAAUGAGAGGUCGAGGAGGAAAUUCACCCAAACUUUUUUCCUUGCUCCGCAAGAAAUUGGGUUUUUUGUUCUGAAUGACAUCCUCAGAUUUGCCAAUGAUGAUGCUAAGGAUACUGUUCCAGAGACCAUAGAAGGGGAAGUUGUUUCUGGGAUAAACUCUACAAGACCCAGUGAUAUUAAUGGUAAGUUAAACGUAUACUCAUUCUCCAUCACUUUGUUUUUUAGUUUCUUCUAACGCACAGUAUAUUCCUAUAUCCUUAGUUACAGGCAAUAAGGGCUCGGAGCAAGCUGCAUGUGUUUCGGUGAAUUCUGUUUCUAAGGAAGUGUCUAAACCCUUGAAUGAUGAGAAUGCUAAGGAUAAUGUUCUGGUACCUGAGAUUGUCAAUGAAGUUGCAGAGAUUGAUAUAACUCGCAAAGAAGUUGCAGAUGAUUCACCGAAAAACUAUGACCCUGAUGAUGGACUUGAAGAUGUUCCCAAGAAAUCCUAUGCCUUUGUGGUAAUUAGUCACCGAAGAGGAUUCAUACUCGAUCUUGUUACAUCUCAUUUUAGGCUUUACUAUAUCACUUCUGGGGUUUUCUAUUGAUAAUUAUUUACUUUCAUAACAGUUGAAGGUUACGAAAGAUAAAUCUGGAGUUCCAGCUGGCUCUGUACCUUCUCCAAAGAAGAUACCUAAAGACCAAGAACAUCAAGCGCCUUCAGAUCCUUCUACAGGCCAGAUACUCAAAGACCAAGGUCAACAAGCAUCUUCAGAUCCUUCUCAAGUGAUAGAAUCUGAUACAGUUUCUGAGUCUGUUGAUGCUGCUGAAAAUGGGCACAAUCAGGAAGGUAGUAGUUCACAGUAUAGCUGAUCCUCAGGUUUUCAAUUAUAAUACUUGGUGGUCUAUAUUCUCUUAUCUAUUCAUGACAUGGUUAUAUCCUUCUUUUGUCUUUUUUAUUAGCGGUAGCUGAGGGUACAUCUAUUUAUGUGAAACAUCUUCCUUUUAAUGCCAACAUCGACAUGCUUGGGGCCGAAUUUAAGCAAUUUGGAGCUAUUACCAAUGGUGGGAUUCAAGUCAUAAACCAAAGGGUAAGAUUGACCAAUCAACUAACAUUAAGUAUUGGAAGCUUGAAUCCCUUAUUCGGGGAUAAAGAAACACUGAUCUUACAUAAUUUAUUGUUCUGAAGAAUGAUAGUUUACUGUAUGACUGGCAGGGCCUUGGUUAUCCUUAUGGUUUUGUUGAGUUUGAGGAGGCAGAUGCUGCCCACAGAGCAAUAGAGGUACAUAUUCUAACGUGGAAUAUAAUUUUCACUUUCUUGUUUAGCAUUAUAGAAAACCAGUACCAACUUUAUUAGCCUAUUAGGUGUCUUGGGCUGUUGGGCAUAUGAGUCUUAACGUUUAAAUCGGGUAUAAAUAUGAAAUCAUUAAUGAUGCAGGCUUCACCUCUGAUGAUUGGUGGACAGAGAGCUUUUGUGGAGGAGAAGCUAUCGACAUCAAGAGGUGAGUUGAUCUAAGUAACAAAGCUUUGAUAUGGUAAUGUGAAGAAGAGGAGGGUGAUUGUUUGUUUGCUUGAGUAACAGGGAACAGAGGAAAUGGAAAUGGUGGAUACGGGAAUAGAAAUGUUGGAGUGGGAAUGAGAGGAAGAGGAGGUUAUGGAUAUGGCUACGAUUACAGGAGGGGAGGUAGAGGUCCUGGAGGAGGAGGAAGGUCUUUUAACCGUAGAGGCAAUGAAUAUGUCGCCAGCAUCAACUCGUACUAGAGCGGGGAUUGGGUUCUUUUGUGGCGGAUAAUUGAUUUUUGGAAUGGUGGAAAGAAGAUGGUAGCAAGACAGACAGACUUGGUAGAUAUCUCUCUCUUGGGUAUUCAUAUAUUAGUGAAAGGUAAAAGAAAAAAAAAAUGAUUUGUGGUGAUAUUAAGGCUUAUGAUUUGUAAGAUAAGACGUUUCUUAUUCGAUAUUAUGUGGAGGUUAUUAAAUUUAUGCAAAUGCUUUUGUUUUUUUGCUUUUUGUUUUUUAUUUUGCUGAUUAUGAACCGUGUGCCGUGUGGUAUUAAAGCGUUUUGGAACAUGAUAUAUUUCUACGGACGGAUCCUUCUUUGACCGGGACAAAAACACUUUAUAUAUUCUUUUAUACGCUCUUGUCAUACUUUUUUAAUCGAGACUUCUCUGUUUGGUCAACUACACGUUUCUUUUUAAGCUCAUGAGAAAAAAAAAACUUUAGCACCUCUUAUUCUUUUAAGCUUGGAGGAAGAAAAAUAAGAGAAUUGGUGAAAUGGCAAGAUUCGCUGAACCUAAAUGAUUGAGUGACUCUAGUCAAACACAUAGUAUGAUACCUUUAAGACUCCUUAGGGUUGGUAAAGUUGAGUUUCAGGAUGAACCAUGGAAAGUGAGAGAAAGUGCAUUGACUAGUUGACAUGAGCUGGAAAAACUGAGCUAUUUCGACUAAACUAUAUAGAUAAAUAGCUCAGCUGAGUUUGAAAGACUAUCUGUUAGCUCAACUAGCUAAAUAAGUUUACUGACACUUACUCGAGUUAAGUUGACUGACGUAGUCUUUGGCUCGAUGGUGGUUUAGGCUUCUUGGGAAAGUUACGUAACCACUAAACUGUUACUCAUACCAUUGGAUCAGAUGGAACAGAUAUAUGAUUCGACGAAUGCGGACAUAUAAUUAUGGGAGUGGUUUGUUUAGAUGGCAGAUUUCGAUGAAAACGGUUCCUAUAUGAAAGGUCUCUUAGACGAAUUUUGGCGAUUCAUGUGAACCAAAGAAAACAUGAUCUGAGGAAGACGCCUCUGGAAAUUUAAAUAGAACGUGUCUUGGUUUAAAUAGACGGCUGGAGUUUUGAAGGGUGUCACAGAUAGGGAGGGGUUUGGAGAUCGGUUUGAAUCACCAAGACUCAACCAAAUCCUCAGUGAUCACUCUUAGACCCACACGGGCUGGUCAAAUCUGGUGGCUGUUUACGACAUUUUUAGACUGGUAAUUUUGAGUCAUUACCAAAUCAUAGUCGUUAAGGCCAACAAUCUCAGAGGCACAUAAGAACAACAAGGUGCAAUUCUAUCUUCCUGAUAUUUGACAUUUCAACUUGCCAGUUAGUAUAAGAAGACGAACUAAGCUAAUGUUCAACAGGACACUGCAAUACCAAUCAAACCCCAUGACUAGAAGAUACUCAUAGAUUCAAGACUCAAGAGGUUGGUCAAAUCUCUAGAACAAAUCUUAAUCACACAACAGUUAAUAAAACUGUGGACCAACAUUUCAAAAGGAUCAAAAACUAUAAUCUAUACACCAUUCAAUAUCCCUCACAAAGAAGGAAACUAAACAACCACGAGAUCACCAGCUUGGCCUAUAAAAUCCAGUUCUCACUUCUCAGUAUCACCACCCAAGCAAGAGGAAAAUAUCAAACUAGACUACCAUAUAUAAAUCACAAUGGAGAAGAAUAACACUAAAGCCAAGCUCCUUCUGGCACUAAUUCUGAUGGCACUUCUACUUUCAGGCGCUGAAGGAGGGAGGUAUGUACCUGAGGAGCAAAGUGAGGUCAUUGCCAAUAACCAGAAACUCUGGGGUUGGUUUCAUCUUCCACACUAUGGCUGGCCCUUUCAUAAAGGAAGGUUUGGUCAUUUUCAUCUCAAAGCUGGCCUCAACAAACAGAACCCCGUACACGGAUCUCACACUACAGGUGAUAACAAUGUUGCUGCAUCCACUGUGUUUCCAUGACUAGGUGACGAUGCAUACUAGCACAAGGUGACCUUAAGGUGUGAGUAAUAAGGCAGAGCAAUAGAGCACCGAUUGAUAGCUUCUGUAAUCUAUCUUUUGCACUCUAAUCCCAGUGCAUGGAGAGUUCUAAUAAAUUUCUCUUAAAAUUCCUACUACUUGCUUAUGCUGACAUACACAAAUACUUAACGUAUUUAUCAGUAAUGUGAGAUGAGAACUGGCAUACACGACAUGAUCAAGAUGUAGAAUUUUAGUAUAGAUCCAAUAUAUAUUUUUUUCCAUAUAUCUUUUCAUCUAUCAAGAGAGAAGAGUAUCAACUGAGAGGUUUGCAGAGACCUAAAUUACAUAGAACAACAACUAAAAAACCAAGAGUUAUUACCAAUGAUAUUCAUCAAAUGAUAGGGCCUUCUGGCUUCUUGAUGAGUGAAUAUUUCUCUUCCACCAAAGCAAAAUAUUCAAAAUUAUGAAGUCAAUGAAGUCCCUUCAAUGUUCCAAAGUGAAUAGGAGGAUAGUAUGACAAACCAUUAGACCUGUGAGAGUAAAAACCAUAUUCCCGUUUACUUAAUUAAGAAUAUAAUUCAAAUCUAGUAAUCUCUACAAGCGUAGAUGAUAAACUAAUCAUUGUUUGACCUACAGGGUGGCUGGUGAUGUUGCCGGACCACUCAUCUAGUGGCUGGAAGGAAUACUCGGAUCAGCUCUUUCGCAGUAACCUUUUUCCUACAAGUCGGGCAUUUGCCCUGGCGAGAUAUUGCCAUCUUUAUACAUCCCUUGCAGAAGAUGUGACCGCACUUAGUUGACAUCUCCUCUGUAAAGGGACACAUGCAGAUUGGACAUGUAAACUUUGGCUCUUCUGGUGGAGGAGCUGGAGCCUUUGAUCUAGACAUUCUCUGCACAAGAUAAAAGAAAUUCGUGAGUUCAGACUAAGUAGCAUAACUGCAUAGUAUGCUUUCAGAAAUCCGCAUCUCUCUUACCGAAGACAUGUUGACUUCAUCAUUUACAUAUGCAUGCUCACAGUCGAUGACAGGUUCACUAGAAGGAACCCUUCUGCGUUUGUUGCUUAUGUUGGCAGGCAAUCUAGUCGUACCUCCUGCAAUUACCCGGCCACGUAAGAGAAAAUUUGUAAGCAAUGAACAAAAACAAAUACAAAGUGAAAUCCAACAAUCAAACUCUCUGUCUCUCCCUACUACUUGAGACAUGACACUGAACCAGAAGAGUAAAAUUGAUUUUCAUAUCCCUUCACAAUAGAUAAAAACUGACCUGACUCUACAUCAACCAUCAAAGGUCUCCGACGUGCAUUUCUCGAUUUGCUUUUAGCCUGGUAUCAAAACAAAACAAAAUUAGUGAACCUACUACACAAACAAAUCCCCUCCAUCACUGCAAAAAAAAAACAAAAAGAUAACAGGAAGCAAACAUACUUCAGCAAAAGCACUAGCGGAUGAUUCAAUAACAUCAUCUUCAAUAGCAUCGACAUCAAUCAUUGUAGGAGCAGGCUGAGACGGUGUAGUAGGCACCGUAGGAGAUCUUACAGAAGCAGAGGUCCCUUCUUGAUCUCCAGGUACAGCAUUCAGAUCAAUCACAGCUUUCCUCCGUCGAUUUCCUCGAGGAACUCUCACCUCUUGUGAGUUCAUCUUUCAGCUCAAAGUAACCUAACCUUUGUACCUGUAAGUUUCAUCCAAUAAAACACAAUCUAAUUUACUCCUCAAAGUCUUGUAUGCAAAUUCAAAUCAUUGCAAGCAAAAUAAUAAAAUUUACGUUUUCACAGAAAAAAAAAAAUUCAAACUUUCCACAGAUUUUCAUGUAAUUAAAAUUUCAAAAGAACUCAAUUUCAGCAAAAAGGGAAAAGAAUCAAUCUCCCAGAAAUUCAUCGAAUUUACGAAACAACUAAUCCGAUCCUAAAUUCGAGAAUGAUCGUUCGUAAUCAAACAAACAAGAGAAUUGAAUUAGAUUAGGUUUUUGAAAGUGAAGAACCUCUUCGAUCAAUUCGAUUCGACGUUCGAGGUAAUCACCGUGAGCUGAAUUUCAAUCGGAGAAAUCGCCGGAGAGAAUUUUGAAAGCCAAUCGAUUUUGAGAAAUCUAGGGUUUUUGAAUCUUUUGUUGUAAGAGAGAGAGAAAAACGCGAAGGUGGUAAUAAACGGUGAGAGAUUUUUGAGUUCGUAAUAAAAAGCCACGCGGUCGGUGACACGUGUCGAAAUCGCAGUUCCACAAUACGAAACGGUUUUUGUGUAGUUUCGUCGUGGUUUACAGUGUUGUUUCCUAGAAAAAGCAAACCGUUUGAGAUGUUUAAAAAGCCCAUUGGGUUUACGUUAGCAAUGACGAUAACAAUUUAUACAACUUUGUUCAGCCCAUUUGAUUGGAUUUUAAAUACACGUACAGAUAAAUAAAUAAAUAAAAACUAAUAAAUAUUGUUAACUUAAAAGAUUCUACAACUUUUAAACUUUUUGUAAAUCUAUCCACCACAGUAACAAUUAUGCAAGAGAAUUUUUUCAAGUAUUAUGCAGAGUGUAAUAGAGUUAUGAGACAAUGUUAUUGUGGUGAAAAAUUUAGAACCAAAGUUUUUUUAUAUUAAAUAUAUUGAUCACCACAUUAAAAUAUGUAAAAGAAACUUUCAAAGAACUCUGCAUAUUGCAAUGUAGUCUUUGUGUUCAACCAUGAAAGAUUUUCGGAGGUAGAAAAUUUUGUUACAUGGAUCAAUUUUUUAAUAUAAAUUAUAUAAAAUUUAUUAUUAAUUUUACUCAUAAAUAAUUUACAUUUAAGAGAAAAAUAUCUGAAAAUCAACCUAAUUAAUAUUUACAAUUUUUUGUUAUGGUCCACAAAGAUUAACAAAUGCAAAAAAAUUGUGGGAUUUUCUUAUAAAUAAUUAUAAUAUUAGAUCAUUAGUUGAACAUUUUUUUAAAUAAGUCAAAAUUUUUUAUUUUAUUACAUUAAAAUUUGGUUUAAAAAUUCUAAUGAAACCAACUUAUUUGGCUUCUUUUUUGUUUUAAUGACAAUUUUUUAUCUCAUAUAGUUGAAUUACUUUUAUAUGGGGUCAAAAACUAUAAUGCAUUAGGGUCACUAUAAUAACCUUAAUAAAAUGUAGUAGAAUUUUGAAUUCAUAGGGGUCAACUGACCCCCCUAAUAUCACACUGCCUCCGCCCAUUCUUAUAGAAAUAUAUAAACGGGUAAGCGAGGAGCUGAACAAACUUUUCUUUUCUUAUAGAUUCAAGAAGCAAUGGAGUUAUGAGACAAUGUUACUGUGGUUAAAAUUUUCAUAACGAAAAUAAAACUUUUUUCUCUUUUUCAUAAAACUUUUUAUUUUUUGCCGUUAAGUUAUACGCUAACAAACUUAGCCGUCAAUUAUCUUUCUCAUAAUCAAAUAUCGGGUCUUCAGAUUUAUAGCUAGACCACAUUAUGACUCUAAAUUUUGGUUGCUAGAAUCUAGGUGACAUGAUAUAUCCAUCGUGCUAAUGAUUCUGACAUACAUGUAUGCGCUCGAACUACAGCUUCGAAUGGAGCCGCGUAUCGGAUGGAGCGGAUCAAGCGGAUAUAGCGUAUCAAGCAGAAUAAAAGCGGAUCAAGCAGAUCUGGCGGUACAAGUGUGGAUAAAGCGGCUGAACGCUUUGAAAUAUGUGUUGAAUGGUGAAAACAGAUCAAACGGGGCGGGUAAAGUAUUUCUAUUGCGUAAAAGACGUUAAUUUAAAUAUAACAUUUUACAUAAACGAUACAUACUAAAAAUAAUUAUAUUAAAAUAAAUUUAUAACAUUGUUUAACAUAUUCUUGAUUAUAAUCUAUAAAUGCAAUAAAAUAUUUAUUAUUAUACAUAUGUAAAACAUUAAACAAAAAAUAGUUUAAAAAAAAUAUAUAUCAAGUAUUUGAUUUAUGUUUUUAUGUUUCUGUAAAUUUUGGUUAAGUUUAAAUGAUCCAAAAAAAAAAAGUAUUUGCAUUUAAGAAAUCUGAUCACAAAAGAAACGCAGUUGAAACACUCAUUAUUUGCCGUGUUAUUAAUGUAGUUAGCAGAUCAUGGAUUUUGUUCAUAUUAUUGAACCGCAAGUGGUUCGUUCAAUAUUUAAUUACUUUUACAAUUGAGCUGCUUUCUAAUAAAAUAAAAUGGCGAAUGGGUAAGAUAAAAGCGUUUCUCUCUGACCCACGUUUCGACGUCCAAUUAACCGUUCUCCAUUCAUAGCCUACGCUUAGCGAAGGUGAAAGUAGCGUCUUCUAUGCGAAGACAUUAAAUGCAUAUCAUGAUGACAUUUUCUCACAUCUAAUUCAGCCUAUUUUGCGCCUUCUAUCCAUACAGUGGCGAACCCAGAACAAUAUUUUACAUGGAUCAAAAUUUAUUUAAAUAUAAAAAAAAAUAACGAAAAAAAAUCAUCUUAUGAAUACAUUUUCUAAGUUCAAAUUUUCUCAUAAUGUUUUAUUUGUUUUCUUAUUUUUAGUAGUUAAAAACAUUAAAAAAAAAUCUUAAAUUUAAUAAAAUAUAUCAAAAAAUUUUUAUGAAACCCACGUUUUAACUAAUAACAAAUGAAUAAAAUCUAUUUUUUAUCGAAUUUGCUAGGAAUGAAAGAUAAAAUGUCAAUAUGAUCAAAUUUGGUAUUUAAUGAAAGAUUACAAUAUGAAUAUCUUAUAGAAAAAAUAGGAACUAUAGUUAUUCGCAAAGAAUACAAAAGGAAUACAACAUUUUUUGGGGGGAAAAACCAUCUAAAUAAAGAAAUGGAUGCCGGAAAUUUUUGUAUAAUGGAGUCAAUUAAGGAUAAGUGCUAUAAUUAGUAAACAAUUUGGUAAUUUAAGAUGGGUCAAUUGAACUCUCUAAAUUGCAUGUGGGUCCACCCCUGCGUACUCGUGAUCUCUUUUUCUAACGAUUUAUCACUUACAUAAGUUUAUGAUAUUUUAUGUACUUCAACAUUUUAUUAACCAACGAUUCUGGUAGUUAAAAUAUUUAUGAGAUAGAUGAAUCAUUAUACAAAAAUUAUAUUAAAAAAUUAAAAAACAACUCAGACUUAAGUAUAACUAAUUCCCUUAAAAAAAAUGCUUUUUGGGUUGCUCAUAGCUAUGCAUAGUAUGCCUAUCCAUAGGGAUGUUGUCGUGGGUAAAUGAGCCCAGCCCAACCCAUCCAUUCCAUUGUCCAUUGAAUGGUUUACGGACCGAACAUGAUCAAGGUAGUGGCAUUGGAUAAAUCUUGUUGGUUAAAUACGAAAUGAUCUCAUUAGAUUUAUAGGGUAAAAAAGAUGUUUAUCAUCUCUUGAUACUGAACUAGAAACACUUUUAUGAGCAACUCAAUGUUUAGUUGAAAAAGUUUUGAUUUUAAUAUUAAUGGAAUGAGAUUGUUCAGACUUAUGCCGAAUGAUUGGCUAUCAAGCGGAUUGGCCUGAUUUAGAAUUGGAAUUUUUUUCCUGAUUUUAAGAGAUCUUUCUAGUUUAUCAUUAUGUUUAAUUUUUCAGUGUACUUCUAAUGUAUGGACUGAUUUCCUUGCCAAAGGAACACACGAACUUUCCAUUUUUCUAGAGCGGCCCCAUUUUGAGGUGAGCAUUUUACCAUUGUAAUCUAAUAUAAUCAUCAUAAAUAUUAAUUAUUGACAUUUUUGUUGUUCAAACUCGAUUGUAAAAAUAAUAAAUGUACCAAGUAGAUCACUAAAAUGGGUGUUGAUUUAUCACUUACAGAAGUUUAACAAGUUAAUAUGUAUAGAUUUUAGGGCCCUCAAAUAGUACAAAAAUAAACUACAUAUAGAUCAUGAGGCUCCAAAACCGUAAUUGUUUGUGGCUCUAUAAAUCUCAGGGCCGACCCUGGAUGGAAAAAGUUUUUAUGAAAAUAUGUAAAAGCGGCCCAUUUAUUUAUUUUUGUUGCGGCCUUCUAAAACUCGGGGUUUAAUCGUAAUUAUCUUGACCUAGUGUCAUUAAUAUCCUCCAUAUAUAUAUAUAUACAUAUAACAGUUUGUGUAAGAAAUCAUACAAUUUAGAUUUGUAUCGUAGCUUUCGAAAACCUAAACUCUCAUCUCUUUUUUUCCCCUUCUCUAGCGCCAACUUUUCUUUUGUCUUCUCUGAUGGCCCCCUAUCAGCGAAACAAUCACCACUGCUUUAUUACGGUAUAUCUCUAAGAGGUACGUACCCCUAUCAUGUGAUGAACUGGUAGUGAUUGGAUCUUCCAUUAUCACAGAUUUUUGUUGUGUCAUUUGCAGAUCUAGAAUUGGGAUGCUCUUGUGAUUGCCAAAUCUGAAGAGGGCUUGGGGCCUACGUUUUCUCUCAGAUAGUAGACAUAACAAUUGAACCAAAAUUUAGUGAAGAUCUUAUUUAUGAUUACUUAGAUAUGAUUCGAGAAUUUGAUCUCUUUUCCCUUGGUUUUCUUUUUCAUGAGGAUUGGGAGGGCUUAAAAGAGAUAAACAGUGAUUUCGAGGCUAUGAAAGACACCAAAAAUUAAAGAAAAGGCUUCUCUUUUCUUUCGUUGGGGAGAGAGAAAAUAUUAUGCUGAAAUCAAGGUAGAGAGAUUGUGUUGUUUGAUAUAGUUUUGGAUGAUGUUAUGGGUUGACAACAUUUAACAGAAAGUUUUUUGCUGAGAUCAAAGUAUCUCUAUAUGCUUGAAGAUUUUGGACAACACACUAUUUUGUAGAAAACAUCGGAUGGAAAGAAAUGACGAGACGCGCACCACCAAGGAGUUUCACCUACUUAUUUGAGGACUCUGCAUCUUUGAUGUUUGCUUUAGAUGAAAUAUGGAUUUUUGACUGAAUAGACUUUCACUAGUAAGUAUUUAUGAUUAAGCAAUUAAAAAAUCAAUUAAAAUCUGAUCUUUUGUGUUGGUUGAAAAUGCUUUUGGUGAUGCUUAAGAACUUUAAUUUUUCUUUUUGAUAUCAAAAAGAA